GUCUAAACCAAUCAGAGAUUGUGAUCUCCCCCCGAUUGGCAGUGGUCUGGAUAUUUCUGUACGUGUGUGUACGUUUGAAAAUGCGUGUGCUGCAGUCAGACAGACAGAGGUGAGUAGCCUAGGCCCGUCAGAUAAACAGAGUUGAUGUAGCCGCGGAUGAUGAGAGAAGAUAGAAAAGACGAUUGACUAACUUUUUCAUUAAGAUGUUAAGUUUCCCAGGUUAUGUCAAGCCCUGGUCCGGAGACGGCAUCAGAUAAUGAGCCACAGACGAUCGAGUCCAAGCCAGAGCCUACUGAAAUUAAAAGGGGGAAAUUGUAUACAUUUCGAAGAGACCAGUUUCAUGGCCGGCAAUAGUGCAUUUGUGACUGGUUUUAAUACAUUUCGAAUUGCAGGCCGAGCUACAAAGGCCAGUGCAUUCUUUCAGAAUAUUCCUUUAAUUAGAGACACUUACGCCAUUAUUAUUGAUUUUUUUUAUUUAGGAAUUUAGUUCAUCAGGGUUUUAUAUGACAAAUUUUUACUGUUGUAUGAUACAGGUUAAGAAAUCAAUGGAAGAUGCCACUUUUGUGGCCUUUUGCCAAUUUAUUGCAGACGUGUUCAGUGGCAUUAGUAAGUUUAGCCUCCUACUUCAAAGGAAUGAGAUCAUCCUACCACAGAAAUGGUGUAAACACUGAGCUUGCAAAAGAAGAGUUUUUAGGCUUGAAGCUGUUAAUUGCCAGGAUGUUCAAAGACAAGACCUGCCUCAGCCUUCGGGAGCUCAUGUUGACCAGAGAGCCCUACUGCUCAGAGUACAAGAACAUCCUGCACCUUGUACACAUUAUGUUGGUCCUCCCUGUCUCAGCCGCAGUUUGUGAGAGAGGGUUCUCUGCACAGAAGAGGAUCAAAUCAGACAUUAGAGCAUCCCUUCAUUUAAAUACAGUUGAAGAUCUUAUAAUAAUCAGUGUAGAGGGGCCAAGUCUGGAAGAUUUUGAUGCUCGAGAGAGUGUGGCCAGCUGGUUUAGCCAAGGCCAAAGAUCAAGAAGGCCAAACUACAGGAGUUGGCCAUCCGAGGGGCAUGUGACUGCAAUGGAGGAUAGUCCAUAAGACAUUGAGCCAUGAGAUGCUCAGUUUGAAGCCCUUGAAACACUUAAUUAAAAUUUUCUUUUUAUUUAAUUUAUCUUGAGAUGUUUUAAGUUUAAAUUUCAGCUCAGUGAAGCACUUCAAGCACCAACACUUUUUUUUUGUUAUCUUUCUUGUAGAAUUGUGCCUCAAAUAAAGAACUUUAUGUUGACCAGAUUGUUAGUUAAUCAUUUACAAGUCAAUAUUGCCUAUAAAAAAAAAGAAGUGAACUUGUAUAACUGUGGUGUUAAAUGCAAUGCGGUUGAAAAUUUGGGUGCACCUAAAGAAAAAAAGUUAGGCGCACCAGUGCAACCAGUGCAAAAAGUUAGUCUAGAGCCCUGAGAAGACUGUGACGUUGUUAUUUGGGAGUAUAUGUAAUAGAGAUUUGUGUGUAUAGUUGUCAGGGUGCGGGCUAGACAGAGGACUCAGAUGCAGAGUAGGGAAAAGGAGAAUCUUUAUUCUCGCCACAAAACACAAAAUAACAUAAACAAUAAUUAAAUGCUCUGGCGCACACAGAGAUCUCCGAGCUGGCCGGCACACUGCGGACCACUCGCGCUGCCGGAUCUCCGAACUACGGAUCCUUAGACGGGAAAACAGAAGGUGAGAAUGCAGCUUGGACACCACACAAACCACGGGCAAAGACAAAACAAUCUACUCACAACGACAGACAGAGAGGCAGAGACAUAUAAGGGAGCUGGGGAACAAGCGACAGGUGGGGAAGACUCAGCUCGUGAUCUGCGCACCCCUGCCACGAUCAGCGCUGAUUGCCCAGACCACGAGCUACCGAACAGACAGGACAACACAGACCGCAGGGGAAGCUGAGAAGGCACCCUGCACCGUGACAGAUAUGAUACCUCUUCAUUCACUGCUACGAAUUGAUGGCGGUCAUAUAAGUACGAUUUAAACCAUGCUAAUGCACUUCCAUUAAUGCCAACAAAGUGUUCUUGUCUAUGCAACACUAUGGUCAAUAGUGUCGAAUGCAGCACUACGAUCCAGUAGCACUAAUAGAGAGAUACAACCACGAUCAGAUGAUAAGAGCAGGUCAUUUGUAACUCUAAGGAGAGCAGUCUCAGUACUAUGAUACGGUCUAAAUCCUGACUGGAAAUCCUCACAGAUGCCAUUUUUCUCUAAGAAGGAAUGUAAUUGUGAGUAUACUACCUUUUCUAGUGUCUUGGACAGAAAAGGGAGAUUCGAGAUCGGUCUAUAAUUAACUAGUUCUUUGGGGUCAAGUUGUGGUUUUUUGAUGAGGGGCUUAAUAACAGCUAGUUUGAAGGUUUUGGGGACAUAUCCUAAUAACAAUGAGGAAUUAAUAAUAGUCAGAAGAGGAUCUAUGACUUCUGGAAGCACCUCUUUUAGGAGCUUAGAUGGAAUAGGGUCUAACAUACAUGUUGUUGGUUUAGAUGAUUUAACAAGUUUAUCGAGAUCGGUCUAUAAUUAACUAGUUCUUUGGGUCAAGUUGGGGUUUUUGAUAAGGGCUUAAUACAGCUAGUUUGAAGUUUUGGGGUACAUAUCCUAAUAACAAUGAGGAAUUAAUAAUAGUCAGAAGAGGAUCUAUGACUUCUGGAAGCACCUCUUUUAGGAGCUUAGAUGGAAUAGGGUCUAACAUACAUGUUGUUGGUUUAGAUGAUUUAACAAGUUUAUACAAUUCUUCCUCUCCUAUAGUAGAGAAUGAGUGGAACUGUUCCUCAGGGGAUCUAUAGUGCACUGUCUGAUGUGGUACUGUAGCUGAUGGCUGCAUGGUUACAAUUUUAUCUCUGAUAGUAUCGAUUUUAGAAGUAAAGUAGUUCAUAAAGUCAUUACUGCUGUGAUGUUGGGAAAUGUCAACACUUGUUGAUGCUUUAUUUUUCGUCAAUUUAGCUACUGUAUUGAAUAAAUACUCUGCAACUGCAGAGCAAAAGUCUAAGGAAGACUCAAAUAUAUUGGCAUAGGUUAUUGCUUGGGAGAAAUGUGUCCAUUUAUUGGUUCCUUAAGAAUAUCGAUUUUUGCCAUUGGGUUAACGACUACCCAUUAAUCAACAAUACCCCAUUAAUCAUUUCUGUACACUUGUACGGUGCAUCCAAAAAUGUUUGGCUGCACUUAAAUCAGGAAAAGCAGCUUUACAUGCUUUUCCAAUGUGGUCACAAGAGAAGAUGGAACAGUGCUCUCUUGGCAGUAGCCAUUGCCAUUAUUGCUUCAGCCUGUUUCAAAGAGUCAGUUGUUUUUUUUUGUGUUUUUUUUAUGACUUGCUUGAUUAUUGGGCAUGGACUUUUCAGUGCUUCUGAGUUGAUGCAUGGUUCUUAAUGUCAGUUUGGCACAAAAUUCUGUCUUGCAACAGAGACAGUAAGCCCUUGUGUCAUUGCCCACAUAAGGCUUUAGCCACCCCUUGAAUUCAGGGAUUAAUUCCCAUUAUUUUCUACACUUCUUGGUAAUAUAUGUCAGAGUGUGACAUGUUAGCUAUCUUAAGUGUGUGUAAUAUUCUAGCUGUAUGUAUUUAUAUUUAUAUUGUGUAUGUGUUUUUAUGUUUG
rnacentral:lncRNA from 1 species